AACGUAGGACGCAAGCGUUAUCCGGAGUUACUGGGCGUAAAGAGCGCGCAGGCGGGUUGUUAAGUUCUGCAUGAAAGCUCCUGGCUAAACUGGGAGAGGAUGGAGGAUACUGACAGCCUAGAGUGAGGAAGAGGAAGGUGGAAUUCCGCGUGUAGUGGUGAAAUGCGUAGAGAUGCGGAGGAACACCAGUGGCGAAGGCGGCCUUCUGGUCCUCAACUGACGCUGAGGCGCGAAAGCAUGGGUAGCGAACGGG
rnacentral:rRNA from 1 species